rnacentral:rRNA from 1 species
UACGUAUGUCUCGAGCGUUACCCGGAAUCACUGGGUGUAAAGGGUUCGUAGGCUGAUAAGCAAGUUGAAAAUGAAAGACCGGAGCUCAACUCCGUGUUUGUAUUCAAAACUACUUAACUAGAAUUUGGGAGAGGUAAGCGGAAUUCUGAGUGUAGGGGUGCAAUCCGUAGAUACUCAGAGGAACACCAAAAGCGAAGGCAGCUUACUGGAACAAUAUUGACGCUGAUGAACGAAAGCGUGGGUAGCGAAAAGG